CCUACGGGUGGCAGCAGUGGGGAAUAUUGCACAAUGGGGGAAACCCUGAUGCAGCGACGCCGCGUGAGCGAAGAAGUAUCUCGGUAUGUAAAGCUCUAUCAGCAAGGAAGAAAAUGACGGUACCUGACUAAGAAGCCCCGGCUAACUACGUGCCAGCAGCCGCGGUAAUACGUAGGGAGCAAGCGUUAUCCGGAUUUACUGGGUGUAAAGGGAGCGUAGACGGCGCUGCAAGUCCGGAGUGAAAGGCGGGGGCCCAACCCCCGGACUGCAUUGGAAACUGUAGGGCUGGAGUGCAGGAGAGGUAAGUGGAAUUCCUAGUGUAGCGGUGAAAUGCGUAGAUAUUAGGAGGAACACCAGUGGCGAAGGCGGCUUACUGGACUGUAACUGACGUUGAGGCUCGAAAGCGUGGGGAGCAAACAGGAUUAGAUACCCGGGUAGUC
rnacentral:rRNA from 1 species